UACAGAGGUCUCAAGCGUUGUUCGGAUUCAUUGGGCGUAAAGGGUGCGUAGGCGGCGUGAUAAGUCAGGUGUGAAAUUUUGGGGCUCAACCUCAACAAUGCACUUGAUACUGUUGCGCUAGAGGGCUGAAGAGGGGGUUGGAAUUCACGGUGUAGCAGUGAAAUGCGUAGAGAUCGUGAGGAAGACCAGCGGCGAAAGCGAACCUCUGGGCAGUCCCUGACGCUGAGGCACGAAGGCUAGGGGAGCAAACGGG
rnacentral:rRNA from 1 species